CAGGCUUGAGCCACCACUCUCAGCCUUCGUUUAAGAUUUUUAAGUACACUUAUCACUAAUGUAUGUACAAACUUUCCCCUAGUUGCAUAAAUCUCUCAAUCUUCAUGCCAUUGGUAGCCUUAUAGUUUGAUCUUUUAGAAGAAUUCUCUUCUGGGAUCUUCUGAGGAGAGGCAGGUUUCUGGCUGUGUGGAAUGACAGAGGAUGUCCCACUGCUUCUUACGAUGACUUUCAACUGGAAUUGUUUUCGACUUUACCUCCUCCGCAUCUGAUUCCACAGACAAUGGGUGCAACAAAUUCCUGGGCCUUCCAGAGGUUCUGGAUGCAAAUUAAGUUGCUUCUCAGCUUCCCCCACUGCUGGCUGAUGGUUGAGAUUUCCUGCAUCUUCCAGAAGCAAAAUAUGCUGAAAUUCAAGAACUGGGCAUGAAUGACUGUGUCACUCGCCAGAGCUGAGCCACCUCCAAGCAGUGAGCCAGGCCAAUCAUGUGAGGCCCUGCCACCUUCAGACAGUGUCCUGUCCCCCUUCACCAGGAACAAACAGAGGACGGCCUGUCGCCUCUCAGCUCCCUGCCUGCCCUCAGACUUUCACAUACUCUUUAUCGAGUUUUACAGAGCUUUUCUGACUCUGUAACAAACAGUCAAAUAAAAAUGCUGUGUUCCCAAAACUAGAAAAUGUUCUCCAUCUGGACUUUUCCCAGGGCCUCAAAUUUACAUUGUUGAAAUUCUUUAUCCCAUGCUGCCCUCCUCACCAGCCUUUUUGAAAUGGAUAAUUUACCAUUAAGGAAAAUCUGCACUUUAUUAUAUAAAUAGUAAAAGUACUGUGCUUAUUUAACUCUCAAAAGAA
rnacentral:lncRNA from 10 species